GAGCAGUCCAGCUGCUCCCAGUACAGGUGUGGAGCACGAUUUUGUGCUCCAUAGGUAGUAGAGAUUGGGAGUGGCUGUAGCCUGCUCCUGAUCACAAGGGCCUCCAGAUUUCACUAGUGAGCAUCUGCAUGCUCAGCAGUGAAAAGUGCAAACAGGCCCUGAGACCGUAAACUGCAAAUCUUGGGGAAGGCAAGAGAGAUAAAUCACUGUGACAGCAUAAAGCUCCAGUUGAGGCAAGUUCUCUCUUCUUGUUCUCUAAUUACCGGCUUCUCACUUAACCUCCAGGGGAAAAGUCAGGACAUGUCAGAGUGGAAUGGUAACUUCAAAAUGUGUCGAUCCUAGCAAUGUCUCUAAGGAACCGUCUGCAACUGGGUGACAUGGCCAUUCUUUGGCUGCCUGGCACAGAAUGCCAUGACUCACGUGGUAGCUGAUGCCCACGGGGAUUGGUGGGGCAGAACGCAAGGAAGUAGAACAUGUCGAAGUUUUGCAACAAGCGCCUCAGGCGUGGAAUGAAAGAUAACAACCUUUUCUCCUCGUCUCAUUUCCAGAUGUAGGAAAAAAUCAUUUUCUGGAACUCUGGCCAUUUCUUCAAGCUGUUGCCCAAGCGCAUAUUGGCUCCAUGGAAGUCUGUAUUUCCAGAAAAACCAAUGCUUUCCUCUGCUGGAUUUUUCUGUAAACCUGGGUGGUUGUGAGGCUACCUACUGUGCACCUGACAGCUGUGAU
rnacentral:lncRNA from 1 species